rnacentral:rRNA from 1 species
GACGAACGAUGGCGGCGUGCUUAACACAUGCAAGUCGAACGGUAAGGCCCCUUCGGGGGUACACGAGUGGCGAACGGGUGAGUAACACGUGAGCAACCUGCCCUUGACACUGGAAUAACAGUUGGAAACAGCUGCUAAUGCCGGAUAUGACCUUCGGUGACAUCACCUGGCUGUGGAAAGUGCUUAGCGGUGAAGGAUGGGCUCGCGGCCUAUCAGCUAGUUGGUGAGGUAACGGAUCACCAAGGAUUCGACGGGUAGCCGGCCGGAGAGGGCGACCGGCCACACUGGGACUGAGAUACGGCUCAGACUCCGACGGAAGGCAGCAGUGGGGAAUAUUGCACAAUGGGCGCAAGCCUGAUGCAGCAACGCCGCGUGCGGAAUGACGGCCUUCGGGUUGUAAACCGCUUUCAGUUCCGACGAAGCGCAAGUGACGGUAGGAACAGAAGAAGGACCGGCCAACUACGUGCCAGCAGCCGCCGUAACAC